GUCCCUCAGUGCCUGCUGCAUGCUCAGGGCUGGGCUUGGGUCACGGCUCAUCAGGACACAGCACAGGCUGCUUGGUGACAAUGUUUGCCCUGCUCAGCACAUUUUGGCAGAGUCUUGGUAAAACUGGCUGAGCUGGAGCUGCACAGUUCCCAUGGCACACGGUGUCCCUGCCAGGCCAAGCUGCCCAAGCACCUACAGGAGAGAGAAAUCCUUCAUAUGGCAAGCUCAGAAGAUGUUACCAUCAUCACUAAUGAAGACAUGGCACAUUCCUGGUACAUCCUCUCCUUAUUCACAUCUAAUGCAGCAUUACCUCCCU